UUCCAUGCUUUGAUACACUUCUAAUUUUUUUGAAGAAGCCCGCAAAAUACUCCGGCCCGACAAAGGCCCAAGAGUGUAUACCAGCUUAUCGGUGGAAACUUAUCGUUGCUUCAACAUAUGUUUGUUUUCCAUUGCAUCAAGAAACAAAAUUGCUUCCAAAAUUAGCCUCAAUCCCCUCUUCUCUUUUCUUUUUCUCUUCUUGAAUUUCCGUCAGAUUUACAGCUCUUCUCUUCCAUCUUCUCUUCUCUUUUCUCUUCUUGAAUUUUCGUCAGAUUUACAGCUCUUCUCUUCCAACUUCUCUUCUCUUUGUCUCUUCUUGAAUUUCCAUCAACAGCACCAAACCAAUCCAGACUUCUCUUCCAUCUUCUCUUCCCUUUUACUCUUUCAUUUUCGAUCAGAUUUACGGCACCAAACCUUCACCUCUUCUGUUUUUCACUUUGAUUUUGGCCCUAUUCUCUGGAAGAUUUAUUCCCAAAAUUGAAGGUUUUUGCAUCGUUGAAGAAGAGAAAUUUCGGAAUAAGGGAUUAACUUCGCUUACCUUUCGUAAUUAGGGAUUCAAUUCGCUGACCUUUCGUAAUUUGGGAUCCAGGCAUGCGUAUUCUUCAGAAUAAGGGAUUUGUGAUAUUUUAUGUUAUUUAUGUUCUUUUUUAAUAUUAUUUUCCUCUAACCAUUUAUCAAUUGCCUAAAUUACUAAUAAGUCGUAUUCUAGGCCUUGGUUACUUGUCAGUAUAACAUGCAUAAUUGGAAUAUAUCUGCAAAACAGUUGCUAAAGUGUGCAGGAAAAGGGUUCCAGUCAGAAGAAAAGGUAUCGGAUAACUCAUGUGAAAAGGGCAUCAGAAUGAUGCUAUACUGACCAGUAUGCAUGUCAAAAAGGCUCGAGAUGGAGAAGAAGGAUUGCUGGGAAGAUCAACCACAAGUAAGGCUAAAAGGGUCAUUUCGCGAAGAGAGUCUACCCUAAAAAUCAAGGGCAGACCUCCAUAUAAAAGGGAGCCACUUGGAGAGAGAAACAAUCAUCGAUCAUAGGGAAUCAACUUUAGGAGCUCUACACUUAGUUAGAAUUCUCUCUCGGCAGUUAGUUCCUUCAGCUUUGUCCUUCAUAUUCUCGUUCCUCGCCACAGCCAUGGUCACCUGAAGUCCAACAGUUAACCGGAGUUCAGCAUUAUCUCGUUCCAGCCAACGUGUUUCGUAGUGUUUGCAGUUUCAUCGCCCGGAGUGGCAAACAAUCUUUAUUUGCUUUCUUAGUUAAUCUUUACGUGUUUCCUUA